CCUACGGGAGGCAGCAGUGGGGAAUUUUGGACAAUGGGGGCAACCCUGAUCCAGCAAUGCCGCGUGUGUGAAGAAGGCCUUCGGGUUGUAAAGCACUUUUGUCCGGAAAGAAAACCAUCGCCCUAAUAUGGUGGUGGGAUGACGGUACCGGAAGAAU
rnacentral:rRNA from 1 species